rnacentral:rRNA from 1 species
UACAGAGGGUGCAAGCGUUAAUCGGAAUUACUGGGCGUAAAGAGUACGUAGGUGGGUAUUUAAGUCGAAUGUGAAACCCCCGAGCUUAACUUGGGGACUGCAUGCGAUACUGAAUACCUAGAGUAUAGUAGAGGGAAGUGGAAUUUCCGGAGUAGCGGUGAAAUGCGUAGAUAUCGAAAGGAACACCAAUGGCGAAGGCAGCUCGCUGGGACGUGACUGACGCUGAGACGCGAAAGCGUGGGGAGCAAACAGG